rnacentral:rRNA from 1 species
GAUGAACGCUGGCGGCGUGCUUAACACAUGCAAGUCGAACGGGGUUUAAGAAGGAAGCUUGCUUUCAUUUUAAACCUAGUGGCGGACGGGUGAGUAACGCGUGAGGAACCUGCCCUUCAGUGGGGAACAACAACUAGAAAUGGUUGCUAAUACCGCAUAAUGUCGGAGAGCCGCAUGACUUUCCGACCAAAGGAUUUAUUCGCUGAAGGAUGGCCUCGCGUCCGAUUAGGUAGUUGGUGAGGUAACGGCCCACCAAGCCUACGAUCGGUAGCCGAACUGAGAGGUUGAUCGGCCACAUUGGGACUGAGACACGGCCCAGACUCCUACGGGAGGCAGCAGUGGGGAAUAUUGGGCAAUGGGCGAAAGCCUGACCCAGCAACGCCGCGUGAAGGAUGACGGUCUUCGGAUUGUAAACUUCUUUAAUUGGGGAAGAACAAAAUGAC